CACGCCUUGAAAGGGCGUCUCAGGCGGCCAGGAGCAACGUGACACCGAGGGCGCAUAUCCAGAGAGGGCUCCUUACAACACGGAAGACCUUAAAAAUAAAAGGAUCUAACUUAUAUAAAACCAGCCUCAAAAGCCAGCUCUGAAAUGAUCCCCCAAAUCACCAUAGAGUGGUAAAAACACUCUUGUAUACAAUGUGUUUAUUAUUUAUUUGCUUAUUAUAAAAAUGUCCCCAAGUUUCCUGCUGGGGGACUUCAUUUAUUUUGUAUGCAAGAAAAAAAGAAAAGAAAAAAGAAAGAAAGGGGGGAGAGGAAAAAAAAUCAUCCCCAAGUAUAACAAGAGACGAACAGUUAGUGCUGAUUUUCAUUUGCAUAAAUUUUCAUAUAUUUUAGUGAAAAUAAUAGCGGGAGCCGAGGAGUGCUCCUGCUCAGUUGAGGCAGAGGAAAGAAAAUCUUAGGGAGCAUCGAGUCGUAGGAAGGGAACGGGAGAUAGCCCUUUACAGACACUGUGAAGCUAUUUCAGCCCCUUUUCCUGGACACAAGGAGUGUCACAUUACCCUGGCACCACACACACCACCAUUCAGUCCUGCUGCGACACCCGUCUAUGUCCCCCGUCCUCCCCCUUUCUGUGCAACGUCUGGAGGUAAGGGCCUUAGCUCGCUGUAUGUUUCCACCUCAGCAGAAGCGGACACGCCGUCUCCCCAGCUUCCGUCUUCUUCUGCGCACCCGCUGUUGGAGUAUUCACGCUUUAGGCUGUGUUCUGAGAGAGAGAGAGAGAGAGAGAGAGAGAGAGAGAGAGAGAGAGGAGAAGAGAAGAGAAGACAGGGGAUAGAAAUAUGGAAAUGUUAUUGUUGAAGCAAAGAAUGAAGGUGGGGGAGCACUCCCUUUAUACUCCCUCACCUCUCUGCUGCCAUCUCCAUCCAUUUAACCAUUGCAUGCAGACAGACAGACAGUGAAAGCGAGAGAAACAGAAAGAGAGAAAGAGAAGUUUAGGUCUAAAAGGAGCAACAACCGGAGCAGGAUAUAAAAAAUGUGCUGGCCACUUUUUUCAGUUGCACUUAGACCUUGUUCUGGACUCAGAGGUUGAAACGCUUACACACUGUGCAGCUAGAGACACGAACCCUAAACCAGAUCUACAGAUGCCCCUAAUAGAGCAUAGGAGCAGGACAGAGGCCUUGCUGUUUAAGCAGUGUUAGCAUACUGAUCUGGAUUAUUGUAUUAUUGUAUUGUGUUGGUCAGAGCAACAACGUAAAGCACUGAAGAGGGAAAAUGCAGACAUGUCAGCUGUGUCCUAAGUCCGAUGUAAGAUUCACAGAAAGAACUGGUCCCACCCUCCCAGGUGCAAAACAGCAACAAGGUGUAAAAGAAGUGUCAAUAAACAUGACUUUAACAGACUAAUAAUACAUUAUAAUAUAGAACAUAUGUUCACAAGCAAUGUUGAAAGACAUAUACAUUAUGUAAUUAUGUACAAAUAUCAUAAUAUAAAUAUAUUAAAAUAACAAACGUAUUCCACUUGAAGUACUCGUGAGACGGGAAAACUGCAUUUAAGUGCAGUACAAAGUAACUGUACUUCUGUCAGACAUUUAUAAUGGCUGGGGGUCUGUUCAGCUGUUCAGGUGCUGCUUUGUCUGCUCUCUUGGGACAAACGUUCUAUAACAGAUUUAGGUAUAAGUAUUAAUAGCACGUGCUAACUUCACUUGCUUUGAUGUGUAAAACGUCCUGAUUCCAUGCAGAUUUGUACAACAUUACUGAUUACGUUCAAUGUUGUAUGCACAAACAUGGAAUGGAGGACAAGAAAUCAAGUGCAGGCAGCGAUGAAGCAUAUCAACAUUUCCAUCAAGUGUAUUAUUAGUUAAUUAUCAGUGCUAUACUGCUCUGCUUAGCCUUAGCAGCCUAAUACAGAUACAGUUGAAUCUGAAUCUGAAUCUGAAUCUGAAUUACUGUAUGUUCACAAAUAUAGCAAUUAAAAAAAAUAAAAUAAAAAUACAGCAAUUCAAAUGCAAACACUUCUGUCAUGACUCCCACAUGUCAUGUUGCUUUUUUUUUGUAAAUCCAGUUCUACAUGAGCAGGAAAUAUAUUUUCAUAUCGUAAUCAUAUAUAUUAAUAGUUGAUAUCAGUUUGCAAACUGUCUGUAUAAACUAUCUGUAUGUUAUGUAUAAAAUGGACAUGACGCUCAUGCACAUAUUGAAACAGUCACUUAAAUACCUAUGUAGAGGCAAAAACAUGUAGAAACCACACAGCCAGACACUCAGACAGAAUAAGAGUGCAGUCCUGUGAGGAAGUGGGAAGCCCAUUUGUAAAGCCCUCACGCUCCCAGGAAGACUUUUUGAAGUGAUUAUGAAGACAGUUCAGAUCAAAGGAUUUGACAAGUCUGAGUGUGCGCCAAAUACGAGCCCGGGUAAUCACGCCGAAGCCCCUCCAUAUGAGAUGGCAGUGGUCCCCCCCAGCUGCUUUGCAAAUGUAAUGUGACACUUACGGAUAAACAGAUUAUCAAGGAGUGGAGGGGUGCAGUUGAGUUAGGCAACCAGAGCGUGAAAAAAAUUAAUAAAGAGAAAAUAAAAAUUAAAAAAAUACUAAAGGAGGUGAUAUAGAAUAUUUAAUGAAGUGAAGGGAGGGGUUAGUGUCAGAGGCUUGAUGACUAAUUCUCCACUGAUACAGGUCUAAAUGAUUAAAUUUAGGACUAUUAGUGGCGACGUUAGAUGAUGAGGCACUGUUUUCUGAGGCGGUGGCAGACUCGGGGCUUCAGAGGACAGUUUUUCCUCCUUUCUCUUUUCCUUCACUAGUUAUUAUAGAUUAAUCCAUAAUCCUCAGCACCUAAAGACAUUUUUGUCAGUGAAGCUCAGGGACAGAGCCGGUAGAUUUUUUUUAACAUGUCUUUGGUUGUGCUCAUUUCCCCUCAGCAUGAUGUCACAUUGUCACGUCUGGGACCGCCAGCUCCUCUCAGAUACUGUUUCAUAAGGUAUUUUGGCAGAGCUGAGGUGGGAUUUAUCACUUUAUGUAAGCGGAAAUGUUCUACCUCGUGUGUGCUGCUAGAUUUCUUCAAUCUUGCACCAUGUGAAACGUAAAGGCUGCUCGUGUAAGAUAUUUUAUGAAUGGAGCGUUAUAUAGAUAAAUGUCAAAUUAUAUAACUGUGUCACAUUACCCACUUUUAUUUUAUGUGAAGGAGAUUCUUGAGAUUGUCUUUAAUUCCAAACUCCAAUGAUAUAUGAAUUAUACUUGCAAUAAUUUGUCUGUUUAUAGAAGGUUUCAGGAUUCUGCAGCACAAAUCUGUGAUUGAAGGCUGUUUAUGUGUUGUGACAUGUAUGUCCACGAUUGGUUUCGUCUGAACUUAGACACUAAUGCUCUUUAAAGAAUUGCCACUGAUGAGACUUGCAGAAGAAACACUUUAGUUAAUCAGAUUGUGUCGUGUGGUUCUGUGCAUGUCCAGAUGACUUUAAUGCAAUCAGUUACACAAUAAAAAGCAUCUCCACAGAAGCGGUGCUCUGUCUAUUCUGUCCUUUAAGUGUCUCAUAAUGAGCAAGACUUUACGUUAAGAACAAAGUCCCCUGCUUCUAUUGUACGCUGUGAUUAAAGUGGUCCAGAAGUGGUCACAGAGUAUCCGUUUGUCCGGUCAGAAGAGGGUGUGAGUCUUUCUGUCUUCAUCUCUGCUCGUGUGUGCGACUGAAUGACCCUUGUGGCGGACAAAUGUCCCUUUGAGGGUGUUCGGACAGACCGUAGGACGGGGCGACUCGGCGAUGGACACAGAGGACUGAGGCUUCAGUGUGGCCACCGCCACGUGGGCCCAAGUCACCUUUCAUCUCCAGCACUCGUCCAUUUCCUGUCCCCUUCAUUCAUGCACAACACAAAGCAUGACGUGGCACACGGCGAUGGAUACACUUCUUUAGUCAAACGACUGGUGCUCUAAGGUGUCGUAGUGAACGAGAUUUGGCUGCUUCCCAAAGAUAACUGCCUUCAAAAAGCUCCUGGACUUACUGAUAUAGAAAUAUUUUUGGUUUUGGGCUUACAAAUAAAUUCCAAAAAUCUUGACAAGUCCACAGAGACAGAAGCAGAGAGGCAGAAACACAAGCUAUGCAGCUGAAAAAAACAAAAACAAGAAACCCCACGGAGCGGAUAAAAAUAUCUCACCCCAAAAGAAAAAGUUCACCAGCAGAGACACAGGUGAAACUGUCACAGAAACAAAAUAGCACUAAAACCUGAAACACACUGACGCUGAAAGAAGAACACUCCCUUUAAUGUUGGACAAUUCUCCCUCUUCCUGUUUUAAUCACCCUGUAAAUGUCCUUGUUGCCAGUUAUUAAUACUAGUUUAUUCCCGAUCAUGAAUGCAUCACAAAACCUAAGAUGAGGGCAACAUGUCUGGCUGCUCCAUGUAUUUGUAAAUGGAAUGGAUUCACUGCCCACCCCCCACCCCCCACCAAUGGUUCAAUGUGUCAGGUAGAGAUGUCAGUUUGAUUGGUCAGUACUAAGGGCAGACGCUUAUUGAUUGGCUGCUCAUUAGGAGAGAGUGGCCCGGCGGGAGUAUCGGGGCUGACACCGUUAACACCGAGCUCCGGAGUGUUGACCGCUCUUUAACGAACGGCCAUCAACCGAGCGGGACCCGGCCAUUGACCCACCAGCUCCGUACGAUCCCUUACCGAGAGGCUGGAGUGUGAGUAAAGGGCUGCAGUGUGUGCUGCUAUUGAUCCAUGAACCAUGGAGGCAGGAACCUAUAUGGGAGACAAAUUCCCAAUACGUGUGAGAGCAGGUUUUAGCCUGACCCUCCACAAGCUUCAUCACAAUGCGUGGAAGGCACUCAGACACACACACACUGUCUUUCACACUGUUCUAAUUGUUUGUUUGGAAUCUGUAAUGACAUAAAGAAAUAGAAACAUCCCAAAAUAUGCUGCAGCAACUGUUGUGUUAUUUUCCACCAACAGGAACAAACACAAAUAAAAUGUGGUCAGGUUUGUUUUUUCCUGUGCAGAGCAUGAAACUGGUGGAUUAUGAAACCAGAAAGACAAGAUGCCUCCUGUCAAUCACGUCAUUUGUUAGAAUGUAAAGGAACCUUUGCUCAGUAUCUACUGUAGGCGGUGACGAUGUCUUGGUGACAAAUGUCAGUAACAUCUGUCUGGCUGCUAAAGCUGAUGAACCUAGAAAUCAUGACCAAAGACAAAGAAAGGAGCAAACUGAGUCUAAGUAAUUAGAUAGAAAGCAGAUGUGAAAAGGUCCAUCCUCACCUCCUCCACCAGCGACUGGAGCAGGAGCAGCACUCUGAAGACAACGCUAGAUGCAUCUGCACAAUAAGUUCAUCAAAUAAAAAUACGUCCUGUAUGGAAUACAUGCUGUGGAUUCUUUGUUUUGAUUGCUAUGUGUACUUGUGCAUCACACGAUCUUUAGUUGAACUAUAUUUGCAAGGUUCGGGUGACACCAAUCCGUGAUUAGAAAUGUUUGUACUAUGUUAGUUAGUGUAUUGUGAUUGUAUUGUUUCUACCAUAUAAAAGUGAAGAUAUCCUAAUUCAGAAAUGUUGGACUAUUAAGAAUUGGCAACUGCUCCCCUGAAUUUCCUCUCUUGUAGUAAAGAAAGAAGUGUGAUUUGCUCUUUGCUGGUGUCUAACUUCCCAGAUGCAGUGUGUCUUAAUAUUACUGGGUCCUGCAGGAUGGAGCCACAUUGUGACAAACUUGCUUUGAUUGGCACCUUGGCUUGGCUCCUCUCCGCCGUCUCCACUUCUACAAAUGUACUGGUGGCUGACUGGACCUAACAGGCAAUGAACUCAUGAUGCAGGAUGCAGCUCGAGCUAAACGCUUCAGAUGUGAGUAUUACAUGCUGAGUUUCUCAGGUGUUUGACCAUUUGGCUGAUCAGACGUCUUCAUAGCGAGAGUUGGCAGAGGUACAAGUCAACAAAAGCGGAUUGGUUCAGCACCGCCGUGCCUUCUGGGGUGCCUGCACAGAAAUCUGUGUGUGUGUGGGAAAGGAAAGCGAUGCGAGCGUGUGUCUGUGUUCCUGUGAAAAAAAAAAAAGGCUCGGAGUGUAUGACAGCCACAGCCGUUUUGGCUCAUUGAAAUAUCAUUACAGUAGCUCUACUUAUCAGAUUAGUUGGAGAAAGGGAUUAACAUAAUUGUGAAAUCCUUAAGUAGCGAGUCUGCACACCGGUUUGUUCUACUUUUGUCUGCAAAUAUAAAAAAGUACCAGUACUUUUAAUCUGGUUUUAUCUUAACAUGCAUGGAUAUCUCCUAAAACACGAUUGUUUGAAAUGAAAUCUGGUGAGUGAACUGUCAGAGUUGGAGGAAAUAUUUCCCGACUGGAGGAGAUUGGGAGACUAUAACAGCAAAUAACCAAACAAUGAAGACAGGCUGAGAUGUGUGUGUCUGUGUGUGUCAGUGUGAGUGUGUGAGGGAGCGAGUGGGGGCUGUGAUCAGAAAGUGAAUGAGCCAUUUCACCGGCUGCACUUCUCCUCUCUCCUCCUGCGUGUGUGUCUCUCUCUCCAAGGGGAAGCCCGAGCUGUGGACAGCAGUGGAAAUGAGCUUGGCCGUGCAGUAAGUGUGGCGACCUCGUGGCUAACCCCGCGCUGUUUCCACAGCUCUCUGCACUAAAUGAUGCCUACUGUAUCUAGCCCAGGAGGAGGAGGAGGGAGGGGGAGCGCUACCCCUCCGCUUCCAGCCAGCUCACAUCAGCCAGUCUGGAGGAGGGCUGCUGCAAGGGACAUGUCGACUUCUACUUUGUGACAGUGUGGAUUUGCACCUGUAGUCUUUAACAUGUGUGAGCACCGUAACAUAAAUAUGAAUGGAUUUGCUAUUUUUACAAGUACAAGCUCACUAUAAUCAAGCAUUAUAGUGUUUCUUUGAGUAAUUUAUGGAUCCGUUGAUAGACUUUUGAUUAACACUGAUUAUCACUUUUUGAAAGUAAUAUCAAUGUUAUAUGUAAAUAUAACAAAGCAAUUAUGCUUUUAACCUGGUUUUAUCUUAAUAUGAAAACAACAAUUCAUAGGUGUAAGGUGUAACAAAACCUCAGCACCUUUUAGCAUCAUUGUGUUUUUUCAGUGAACUGCGCUAAAUAUCAUUACCUAGUAGAUUCAUGUUUUAUUGACAUUUCUUAUGCUUUGUUUGGUUUAGGGCCAAACACUUUUAAACGCUUUAUGAUAAAAUUAAAAUACUUUUAAUAUUA